GCCAGACUCCUACGGGAGGCAGCAGUGGGGAAUAUUGGACAAUGGGGGGAACCCUGAUCCAGCGACGCCGCGUGAGUGAAGAAGUAUUUCGGUAUGUAAAGCUCUCUCAGCAGGGAAGAAAGAAAUGACGGUACCUGACUAAGAAGCCCCGGCUAACUACGUGCCAGCAGCCGCGGUAAUACGUAGGGGGCAAGCGUUAUCCGGAUUCACUGGGUGUAAAGGGAGCGUAGACGGCGACGCAAGUCUGGAGUGAAAGCCCGGGGCCCAACCCCGGGACUGCUCUGGAAACUGCGUCGCUGGAGUACGGGAGGGGCAGGCGGAAUUCCUGGUGUAGCGGUGAAAUGCGUAGAUAUCAGGAGGAACACCGGCGGCGAAGGCGGCCUGCUGGACCGUGACUGACGUUGAGGCUCGAGAGCGUGGGGAGCAAACAGGAUUAGAUACCCCAGUA
rnacentral:rRNA from 1 species